rnacentral:rRNA from 1 species
UGGGGAAUAUUGCACAAUGGGCGCAAGCCUGAUGCAGCCAUGCCGCGUGUAUGAAGAAGGCCUUCGGGUUGUAAAGUACUUUCAGUCGGGAGGAAGGUGUCAAGGUUAAUAACCUUGGCAAUUGACGUUACCGACAGAAGAAGCACCGGCUAACUCCGUGCCAGCAGCCGCGGUAAUAUGGAGGGUGCAAGCGUUAAUCGGAAUUACUGGGCGUAAAGCGCACGCAGGCGGUUGAUUGAGUCAGAUGUGAAAUCCCCGGGCUUAACCCGGGAAUUGCAUCUGAUACUGGUCAGCUAGAGUCUUGUAGAGGGGGGUAGAAUUCCAGGUGUAGCGGUGAAAUGCGUAGAGAUCUGGAGGAAUACCGGUGGCGAAGGCGGCCCCCUGGACAAAGACUGACGCUCAGGUGCGAAAGCGUGGGGAGCAAACAGG